rnacentral:tRNA from 1 species
GCGGUAGUGGCGUAAUGGUUAGCGUGGAGGCCUGUGGAGCCUCAGGACGGGGUUCGAUUCCCCGCUACCGCC